UACAGAGGGUGCGAGCGUUGUUCGGAAUUAUUGGGCGUAAAGGGCGCGUAGGCGGUGCGGUAAGUCACCUGUGAAAUCUCCUGGCUCAACUGGGAGCUUGCAGGCGAAACUGCCGUGCUGGAGUGUGGGAGAGGUGAGUGGAAUUCCCGGUGUAGCGGUGAAAUGCGCAGAUAUCGGGAGGAACACCGGUGGCGAAGGCGGCUCACUGGCCCGUUACCGACGCUCAGGCGCGACAGCGUGGGGAGCAAACAGG
rnacentral:rRNA from 1 species